GGACGAUUAGCUCAGUUGGGAGAGCGCAUCCUUGACGUGGAUGAGGUCAGCGGUUCGAGCCCGUUAUCGUUCACCA
rnacentral:tRNA from 1 species